GCUGCAGGCAGGGAUGCAGGGGCUGUGUUCAUAUAGGAAUGCUGUCCUGAGAGCUGGGACCUGUAAGCAUGGACAUAACAUGGUGAUAGAUGGGAU